GACGAACGCUGGCGGCGUGCUUAAUACAUGCAAGUCGAACGGAAAGGCCCUGCUCUUGCGGGGUGCUUGAUUGGCGAACGGGUGAGUAACACGUGAGUAACCCGUCCCUGACUUUGGGAUAACUUCAGGAAACUGGGGCUAAUACCGGAUAGGAGCUCCUGCUCCACGGUGGGGGAUGGAAAGUUUCGGCGGUUGGGGAUGGACUCGCUGCUUAUCAGCUUGUUGGUGGGGUAGUGGCUGACCAAGGGUAUGGCGGGUAGCCGGCCUGAGAGGGUGACCGGGGUCAUUAGGACUGAGGGACGGAGCAGUAUGCAACGGGAGGCAACAGUGGAAAGUCUUACAGAGUAGGGCCGAGCCUGAUGCGGCGGCGCCGCGUGCGGAAAGACGGGUUAUGAGUUAUAAACAGAUGUCGAAGGAAAUGAAGAGAGAGUGACGGUAAUGGAUCAAAAAGCAACGGCUAACUACGUG
rnacentral:rRNA from 1 species